GCUGAAUGUUUCAGCAUCUUGUGAAAAGCUUGGACAAACUUUCACAGAUAGAUCCUUUCAUGAUGAGGCUGGACGGCAACUGCCAAGUAAUCCUCCUAUCCACCCUCCUAAGCUACUGCAAAGCUGCAGUGCUGCUCCACGGAGCCUAUUUUCUCUUAGGAGCAGCACACCAGGUUCCCCCUUCUGAGACUUACAGUCAUACGUCUACACACUUCACUUCUCUAAUCUGAGAACGUAGGGAACUGGUAAUCCAUCUUAACAGUCAAGCAUCUAGAGUCCUCUCCUACCUCUCCAUACAAUGGGAAGAAAAAGACUGCAAUGCUCCCCUGGAUACCUCAACAACCGAUGAGUUUGGGUUUCGGAUUCCUCCCACUGGAGUAUUUUUGUUGUCCAGAGCACUUUAUCUGAGGAGUAACCUGCAGCAGAGGAGCCAGCUCUUGAAAACUGCCUGUUUUGUCUCACUUUUCUGAGGAUUAGAAGAUACGUAGUUUGUUAAAACUGUAUGAUUUUGGUUUCUUUGAUUGUUUUGUUGUCGCUAAUUUUGGUGGUCUGUUUGAUUUCAUGGGUUUUUGUUGUUGUUUUUUGUUUCUUUUAAAUACACACUCAGGGAGAAACAACAGUUCAUUGGAAAAAUAAUUCAAAUGCUGAAAGGCAAAUUGUCCAUUAAGUUCACCUACAGAACAGAUGAAGACCUGAAAGUAGUUUCCAUGGAACGAGCAAAAACUACUGCUGUAGGAAACAAAAUUCUGUUCCAAAAAAGUAAAGCCAUUUUACCCAAGGGCACUGUAGACUUCAUCAGUGCCAAAAAGUAUCAGGAGGUGAUGACCACACCAUUCUAGGAAGUUCUGAGUUUUCCUGGAAAAUUAAUAGUGGGGAUUUAACAGAAGAAUACCAGUGAUACAUACAAGAUGUGUACACAUUUUUCUUUUGAAAUUACGUCUAAGGUGGUCUUCAGUACUGAGUGAUUUUUCCUACUGUAUAUGAAGUGACUCACUGGGACAUUGGCACUGUUCGUUAUUUUUCUGCUGUUUGAAAAAAAAAUUAAAGAAGCGAGUGUGAAGAGGCCUCUGCAGACUGGCUCCAUCUGUGCUUCCUCAGCGGCUCCUGGGCUGUCAGAGUCAAGGACAGCUAGCGCUCUCCAUGUUCCAGCACCACGUGCUCCUGAUGGGCCAUUGUUUGCCUACAGGCUAUUGUUGUUUCAAGUUGUCACUUAAAGGAGAUGUUAUGUUUCUGGCUGCCAGGUCGCUCUGCCCUCAGAAGUGGUGUUUAUAACUUCUCUACGGCCUUUUGCAGAGGUUGGCCGGCUGGCUGACACCCCAUUGGCUGUGACUGAAGGAGACCUGAGCAGCUCUUCUUUUCCUGGUGACUGCUAGGUUCUUUUCAUUUCCCCUCACUGCUCCACACUAAACAGCAAGGUUUACAUAGCCACCUUCACUGCUAUAGAGAAGAAUGUUUAGUUCCUUUACGCAAUAAAGUUUGAUUAAUAGCUGAGGUUUGGAGGAGACAAAAGAGGAAAUUUCUGUUAAGAUACAAAAAGGUUUCUGAGGGAAGCAGACAAUUGGAGCAAAAGAACUUGUAGAAUUGCUGUAUAGAUCAUUAAGUAAUUAUAGGUCUUAAUCAUCUACACAUUUCAGGAGAAAAGCCAUGCUGUGAAUCGGAUCUGCUCAGCCAGCUUACAGACUGGUAUAAAGCUGAGAAGUAAAUGUAUGGGUAGUCAUAAUCAUUUCCUUAAUCGGGUGGCACCGCUGUGUGUAAUGAUAUUCUGAAAGCAAAUCUGAGACAUGUGACAACUUUAAUACUAUUGGGUCAAACAAAAUGCAGACGUUCCUGAAGUUCAGGAAUCUAAAAACAAAUGUGUGGAACAUUAAGAGAAAGAUUAAGGAAAAAAUACCAUCUACAAUAGCCUAAACAGAAUAAUAAACCUGACAACCUGAGCUGAGUAUUUAAAAAAGUAUUUGCAUACUUCCAGAAUUGCUGUGCUGUUAAAAAAAAAAAAAAUCUCUCGAACUGUGCUCCAUUCAUCAACCCCUCUCAUUAUCAUGGGCUCUCACCCCACUUGACUCACAGGUGCCAGGCCACAGCACAAGCCAGCAGUUGGGAGUCCUUCACCCAAGGACUUUCAGCUGCUGUGGAGCACCCAUUAUAUCCCUUUCCUAACAUUUACAUUCAUCUCCAAAGAAAAAUACACAAACCCACUUGGCAUGAAACGUAAUAAAAAAGAGAGGUUCAAUUCCUUUUUAGGGAGAUUUGCAGGAGACUCAAGUUGAGGCGUUCUAAGAGUGCAUUUGAGAUCUGGCCACAAGUGCCCUCAUCCAACACUCUGCAGUGGAAAUUUUCCCCCAUCCCAGAGGAUUUCUUAAUUUUUUUUUUUACUAUUACACACAUAAAUAUAAAAAAUAGGGACAGUCUAGAUCAGACUAAAUCACUUUUGUGCAAAUCCCACUCAAAUCAUUAUGAGUUGCCUGCUCUUCAUGCUAUUUAUUUCCCUUUCUUUUUGUUAAGCAAGUUAUUUCUGCUCAGUAGGC
ensembl:lncRNA